UCUCAAUCUCCUGACCUCAGAUGAUCCACCCACCUCCCAAACUGCUGGGAUUGCAGGCAUAAGACACCAUGCCCAGCCUAUUACCUGCAUUUUUUAACAAACACAAAAUGUGCUCACAGCUCAAAGCCUUCCAGUAGGAAUCAUUUUCUAUUUAGAAUAUAAUGACUUUUUCCAUAUUUUGAAUUCAUUUAUUUAUUAUGUCAUGCGGUGAAUAAUUCUGGUCUCCCUUUCAUAGUGCUUUAGAAAAAUAUAAGGUUUUUAUAAAUAAUUAGUAAUCAUUAAGGUAGAAAGGCUAACAUGGCAAAACACUUGAAAGUAUUAAAUAUUACUUUAAAAAUAGCCGAAAUGUGGCAAAAUAAAUAAAAAUAAAAUACUGCCCCGACCCUUUGCCUCUGCCAAUUUGUCACACCUGUCACAAGGGAACCUGUGACGCUUAAGUUCUUGUAACCAUUUUCCCAACUUGUCUUGGUAACUGCAGUCAUUCUUGGAAUCUCUUUUGGUUCUAGGCCUUUUUUCUUUCUAUCUAAGGCAGAGACCAGCUAAAUCUAUUUUCUGUGGCUUUUCACAGUACCAACUUUUCCUAUAUAAUUCCAAGUGAUGAUAUGGAGAGAAAGUAGGAAGGUGGUUGCCAUCUAAUAUCAAGAGAGUUGAGAAUGACCCUCGGGAUGGGAGAAGGUGGUAAGAUACCUACCUUCACCUAAACAGGUUGCUUCCCAGAGACUUAAAUGCUUCUUUUAUAUGGUACUCAUUUAACCCUCACAGCAACACUUUUUUUUUUGAGACAAAAUCUCACUUUGUCGCCCAGGCUGGAGUGCAGUGGCACAAUCUCGGCUCACUGCAACCCCUGCCUCCAGGGUUCAAGCAAUUCUUGUGCCUCAGCCUCCCUAGUAGCUAGGAUUACAGGCACCCACCACCACACCCAGCUAAUUUUUGUAUUUUUAGUAUAGAUGAGGUUUCACGAUGUUGGUCA
rnacentral:lncRNA from 10 species